UGGUUUGGUAUUUCCCAAAGUUUGAAGGCU
rnacentral:piRNA from 1 species